rnacentral:rRNA from 1 species
AUGGAGUACAAGAGGUCAUCGCAUGUGGAGGAGGACGAGGAGCUGGAGGAGGAGGAAGAGGAGGAGGACGAUGAGGAGGAGGAGGAGGAGGAAGAGGACGAGGAGGGGGCGAUGAGGGACCGUCGGCACCAGCAUCAGCAUCCGCACCAUCAUCGCCAUCACUACACCACGGCGCCGGCCACGGCCGCGCCCCCGCACCACCUGCACCUGCACGGCCAGGCUCCCCAGGUUCUUGGCUCGCCUGCCGCGGCUGCCUCCUCGCCCCCCUCCUUGAUGGAGGCCGCCGCUUUCUCCAGGCCCCUCCUGCCUCCCAACUCCUCCCUCGUCUCCUCGCCGCCGCCUCCGCCGCAGGCGCCGCCCGGCUUCCUCUUGCCUCAGCACCAGCAUCCCCACCGGAGAAGAGUCGACAGGGAGAGGGAGAAGGAGAGGACGCUGGAGGCGCCUGGGGAGGCCCACCGCCAGCAGCAGCAACCGCAGCCGCAGCACCAGCAGCGCCAUCAGGAGCCGCAGCCGCAGCACCAACAGCGCCAUCAGGAGCCGGCGAGAAAUGGCGUGCUUGGUGGUGGCACCAUGCCUCCCCCGCCGCCUACGCUUGCCAUCAUGACCGGCGGCGCCACAAGGGCGCCAGGCGAGCACGGUGGCGUCUCGGGGCCGGAGCCGCUGCCGUGGAGGUACAGGGAGUGCCUGCGCAACCACGCAGCGCGGAUGGGCGCGCACGUGCUCGACGGCUGCGGCGAGUUCAUGCCGUCCCCGGGCGACGGGCCCGCCGCGCUGGCCUGCGCCGCGUGCGGCUGCCACCGCAGCUUCCACCGCCGCGAGCCGGUGGUGAUGGUCCCGUCGCCCUCGCCGUCGCCCGCGUCCGCCGUGGUGUCCCCCUCCGCGACCCCAGCCGGCGCCAACUCCCGGCUCAUGCCGCUCCUCCUCGCCCCGCCGCACAUGCAGCAGAAGCGCCCGCACGUCCCGGCGUCCCCGAUGUCCGCGCCCGCCGCGCUGGCCGAGUCCUCGAGCGAGGAGCUCCGCGCCCCGCCGCCGCCCCCUCCGCCGCAGGCGCAGGCGGCCGUGGGUGGGUCGGCCUCCGCGCCUCCGGCGCCCAGCAAGAAGCGGUUCCGCACCAAGUUCACGCCGGAGCAGAAGGAGCGCAUGCUGGAGUUCGCGCACCGCGUGGGCUGGCGCGUGCAGAAGCCCGACGGCGGCGUGGUAGACGCCUUCUGCGCCCAGGUCGGCGUGCCCCGCCGCGUCCUCAAGGUGUGGAUGCACAACAACAAGCACCUCGCCAAGACCUCGGCCACGUCCCCGCAGCCGCUGCCGCCGCUCCACCACGACCCUAGUCCUCCCCACCACCAGCACCACCCAGCGCCGCCCCACCAGCAGCAGCACGGUGCAUGA